CGGCAGGGGGCUCUGUCUCUCCACGAUCCCCGGGCCCCCGCAGCCUGGAUCACAUUCCCUCCAGCCUGGGGGGAGGAAACAGCGUUCAUUUCUGAUUAAAAAUGACUAUUUUUUAAAUGGGCUUCAUUCUUUCUCUCUGUCCUCUCCCAGGGCCAGAACGAGGCGGAAAGCGCCACCGAGAAUCCAUUCCAAACGAGCAGCCAAGAGGAGACGCGGCAGCUCCCAGAUGUUGAUGUUUUGUUUUUUGACAUAAAUCUUUGCACUCAUAUGGGAGUUUUCAUUGAUUCAUGCUUCCAUCUGCUGAAUUUCCUUUUAUUUAUUUAAUACGGCUUUUUGGGAAAUCUUGCUCCGAAGCUCCAGAGGAGCAUAAACUGUAGCGAUCGCCCUACCCCUCCCCCCUCCUCCAAAGCUUGGCUGCGGGGUGGGGGAAGGGAGUGGUACCCUGCGGAGAAGGCCGCUCGCUGCGCGUCCUCCUCUUGGGCGGCAGGCGCCCCAGGCCCGCGGUGCCGUGGCUGUCCCCCUGCUCGGUGCCUGCCUGAGGCUGUAAACCUGACAAAGAAACGGCAGGAGACUCGAGGCACCCUGAGUCUCUGUUGCUCCUCUCUCCUGCCCAGCCGCAGUACCGCGCUCCUCUAACCGUGGAUGCCCGCGUUAAGCAUCCCUUUUCCUCCCGCCUCCGCCCGCAAGGUGCCCCGCCGCGCUGAUUCUUCGUAUGAAGAGCUUCACCUGCGUGAGAAUCCCGACCCCACUUUGUAGAGUGACUUCGUGACCACGGUAACUUCUCGGAGCCUCCGUAAAAUGAAAGGGGCUUGGCUGGCCUCACGCUCCAUAGAGACAAAUGAGGACUGGACCCAGCGAAGACCCCUAAGGUUCCAGAUUCGUGCGGCUGAAAUUCAGUCUGUGUCGCAGACACUCCUGGCUCGUCCUUUUCACCUGCAUGGAUCCUGGUGUUUCUCCUCCGGUCUGUGAACUCCUACAGGACAGGGUCUAAACCUGUGUUGAAAGUGGUCCGUUGGCACACACG
ensembl:lncRNA